rnacentral:rRNA from 1 species
CGCAUCUGUGCAUGCAGCAUAUCAAUAAGCGGAGGAAAAGAAACUAACAAGGAUUCCCUUAGUAACGGCGAGUGAAGCGGGAAGAGCUCAAAUUUGAAAUCUUCAAGGUUUUACCUUGACGAAUUGUAGUUUAAAGAAGUGUUUUCUGUUGAAGUUUUGGUAAAAGUUCUUUGGAAUAGGACAUCAUAGAGGGUGAGAAUCCCGUAUUUGACCAUUAUUUUCAGCUGUGUGAUACACUUUCAAAGAGUCGGAUUGUUUGGGAAUGCAGUCCAAAAUGGGUGGUAAAUUUCAUCUAAAGCUAAAUAUUGGCGAGAGACCGAUAGCGAACAAGUACCGUGAGGGAAAGAUGAAAAGAACUUUGAAAAGAGAGUUAAACAGUACGUGAAAUUGUCAAAAGGGAAGCGUUUGACACCAGUGUUGUUUUCUCGAAAAUCAAUUAAAAAGAGUUUGAUUUUGUUGUGUAUUGACCUUAACAGCUUGCAUUUCAAUUUUCUUGCUUUUUUUAAUGCACUUUUCGUUUAACAAGUCAACAUCAGUUUCUUUUGUUGUAAAAAGGUCAUUGGAAGGUGGCUUUCUUUUCGGAGAAAGUGUUUAUAGCCUUUGACUCCUAGCAAUCGGAGAGACUGAGGUCUGCAGCGUAGAUCCUUCGGGGUUAGAUACAUUUGUGCUAAGUUAUAGCUUUUUAUAGACAACUUGUUGACUAUGAUUAGUCUUGUAGCUUACUCGCUUAUGCUAUUUUACCUACGCUUAGGAUGUUGACACACGCGCGUGCUCG